rnacentral:misc_RNA from 1 species
GGUGUUUCGAAUCAAACGGCAUCCUGAUGGUCGUAUUCAAAGGUAUAAGGCUCGGUUAGUGGCCAAAGGUUAUGCUCAACAAGAAGGUGUGGACUAUCAAGAAACUUUUUCUCCCGUCAUUAAGUUUACUACUGUCCGCACUAUUUUAUCAUUAGCUACUCUUCAUGGGUGGCCUAUUCGACAAAUUGAUAUCUCCAAUGCUUUCCUUCAUGGUCACUUGGAGGAUGAAAUAUACAUGGAGCAACCGGUAGGCUUCCACCAUUCACAGUUUCCUCAUCAUGUCUGCCGACUUCAGAGAUCCCUAAAUGGCCUUAAGCAGGCACC